rnacentral:rRNA from 1 species
CCAAGGUUAGUGGCAAACGGGUGAGUAAUACAUAUCUAACAUGCCCCUCUGUGGGGGAUAGCCACUUGAAAAAGUGAUUAAUACCCCAUAGGAAGUUUUAUCCAUGAUUUAGCUUUUAAAGCCUUCGGGCGCUGAGGGAUUGGGAUAUGCUCUAUUAGCUAGUUGGCGGGAUAAAAGCCCACCAAGGCAAUGAUAGAUAGCUGGUCUUAGAGGAUGAACAGCCACAAUGGGAUUGAGAUACGGCCCAUAUUCCUACGGGAAGCAGCAGUAGGGAAUCUUCCACAAUGGACGAAAGUCUGAUGGAGCAAUACCAUGUGAACGAUGAAGGCCUUUUUGGUUGUAAAGUUCUUUUACGAGGGAUAAUUAUGAUAGUACUUCGUGAAUAAGUGACAGCAAACUAUGUGCCAGCAGCUGCGGUAAUACAUAGGUCGCAAGCAUUAUUCGGAUUUAUUGGGCGUAAAGCAAGCGCAGGCGGAUGUGUAAGUUCUGUGUUAAAUGCAGCUACUCAAUAGUUGUAUGCACCGAAUACUACAUGUCUAGAUUGUGGUAGGGAGUUUCGGAAUUAAGCAUGGAGCGGUGGAAUGUGUAGAUAUGCUUAAGAACACCAGAGGCGAAGGCGGAAACUUAGGCCAUAAAUGACGCUUAGGCUUGAAAGUGUGGGGAGCAAAUGGGAUUAGAUACCCCAGUAGUCCACACCGUAAACGAUGGGUAUUAGAUAUUAGGGCUUUAGCUUUAGUGUUGUAGCUUACGCGUUAAAUACCCCGCCUGGGUAGUACAUAUGCAAAUAUGAAACUCAAAGGAAUUGACGGGGACCUGAACAAGUGGUGGAGCAUGUUGCUUAAUUCGAUAAUACACGAAAAACCUUACCAAGGUUUGACAUCCCUCGCAAAGCUAUAGAAAUAUAGUAGAGGUUAUCGAGGUGACAGGUGGUGCAUGGCUGUCGUCAGCUCGUGUCUUGAGAUGUUUGGUUAAGUCCCGCAACGAGCGCAACCCCACUCUUUAGUUACUUGUCUAAAGAGACUGCACAGUAAUGUAGAGGAAGGAUGGGAUCACGUCAAGUCAUCAUGCCCCUUAUGCCUUGGGCUGCAAACGUGCUACAAUGGCGAACACAAUGUGUUGCAAACCAGCGAUGGUAAGCUAAUCACCAAAUUUCGUCUCAGUUCGGAUAGGAGG